rnacentral:rRNA from 1 species
AUGGAAGGAGGUGCUCCAUCGAGGAGCCACCACUGGUGCCAUGGCAUCAGAAGAGGUGCAGCCAGGGAUGAGACGAGGAUACACCGCUUCCCCUGUGAGAUCCUUCUUUCACUCCCUCGAUUCACCUCUUCUCUUGCUCCCUCUCACUUGCUGCCCUCCAUCUUCGUCGUAUCCACGGCGCUGGAAGCUGGUGGGGCGAGGUGGCCGAAGGAGGAGGCGUGUGGAUCUGGGCCGGCCAGAUCAGCAACCCCGGCUCCUCCUGUUGAGCACGGAGGCCCUCAUUUUCUCUUUCUCCCGCAGGGACCGAUCCAUGGCUGGAUCGAUUCGAGCGUCGCCCUUCCCUUGCAGGUCGCUGCCGCGCCCGCACGCCUCGGGUCCGGUGGGAUCCGGGAUGACGAGGGGGGAUGGGAUGCGUGA